AUUGAACGCUGGCGGCAUGCUUUACACGUGCAAGUCGAACGGCAGCGCGGGCUUCGGCCUGGCGGCGAGUGGCGAACGGGUGAGUAAUACAUCGGAACGUGCCCAGUAGUGGGGGAUAGCUCGGCGAAAGCCGGAUUAAUACCGCAUACGACCUGAGGGGUAAAGCGGGGGAUCUUCGGACCUCGCGCUAUUUGAGCGGCCGAUGGCAGAUUAGCUAGUUGGUGGGGUAAAGGCCUACCAAGGCGACGAUCUGUAGCUGGUCUGAGAGGACGACCAGCCACACUGGGACUGAGACACGGCCCAGACUCCUACGGGAGGCAGCAGUGGGGAAUUUUGGACAAUGGGCGAAAGCCUGAUCCAGCAAUGCCGCGUGUGUGAUGAAGGCCCUCGGGUUGUAAAGCACUUUUGGCGGGAACGAAAAGGACUGUGCCAAUACCACGGUUCGAUGACGGUACCCGCAGAAUAAGCACCGGCUAACUACGUG
rnacentral:rRNA from 1 species